AAGUGUAGUAUCUGUUCUUAUCAGUUUAAUAUCUGAUACGUCCUCGAUCCAGGAACUUGAUUAUUUGAAACUUCCAAGAUUUGUGCCCAGUUUUACCAUCUCAGCUGAGGAUGAAC
rnacentral:snRNA from 1 species